GACCCUGGCAAUGAUGAGAAGAUCUGACAUUCUAGGACAUGCCGUGAGCCCUUGCAGCUGGAAGAGCUGCUACGUCGAUUUGGAACAACUGUUGUGCCCUGGAGAACCUGCUCAAAAUCCUUUGGCAACGCACAGGUUGAUGAGAAGCUGGAUGAGAAAAUCAUCUAUGAAGCGCAUUAGGCUUGUCAGACCAGCAUGCUAUAAAUUGGUCCUCCACAGUCUACGUACCAUGAGUAAAAAUGUUACAAAUGCUAAAAUGUUAGAUUUGAUUUUCAGGGAGCAGGGAUACACAGACCUGUGGGAUAAAACAAGCAGUGUGUCCUGCAUCAAUUGUCUAUUUUGUCACAUUAACGGCUCAGUGGAGUUUGCUAUCCCAGUUUGGAGUUAACGAAAGUAUGGAAAAUGCUACACCCAAUCACAAAUGGAGUCUUGCUGAGCCAAUAGAGACGCAACUCCCACCUAGGAAGUGACUUGACGUGGCACGUUAAGGAACCUCACUUUGUUUUAUCUUU